UGUGAUGGGGAGCGAAAUUUAGUAGCGAAGUAGCUGAUUUCACACUGUCAAGAAAAGUCUCUAUCGAGGUUAAAGGUACCCGUACCGCAAACCGACACAGGUGGGUGAGGAGAGUAUCCUAAGGCCAGCGAGAGAACUGUUGUUAAGGAACUCGGCAAAAUGACCCCGUAACUUAGGGAUAAGGGGUGCCACCAUCAGGUGGCCGCAGAGAAUAGGCCCAAGCGACUGUUUACCAAAAACAUAGGUUUCUGCUAAGUCGCAAGACGAUGUAUAGGGGCUGACGCCUGCCCGGUGCUGGAAGGUUAAGGGGAUCUGUUAGAGCAAUCGAAGCAGUGAACUUAAGCCCCAGUAAACGGCGGCCGUAACUAUAACGGUCCUAAGGUAGCGAAAUUCCUUGUCGGGU
rnacentral:rRNA from 1 species